ACCGUCCUGAUGUGUUCGUCGGGUCACCCAUCGUUUUGACCGAACAGUCGAUGAUCCGGGAGCCCGGGGUUUCCAAGCGGCGUGCAUGCCUCUUCGUUGCAGGGGGAAGCGCAAACCUUGGAACAGGGCACCCACCUAUGUGGGAGCGGGUUCAAAACGAAGGCAUCGACGGCACGAUUGGGACUGGU
rnacentral:other from 3 species